rnacentral:rRNA from 1 species
GAUGAACGCUAGCUACAGGCUUAACACAUGCAAGUCGAGGGGAAACGGCAUUGAGUGCUUGCACUCUUUGGACGUCGACCGGCGCACGGGUGAGUAACGCGUAUCCAACCUUCCCAUUACUGUGGGAUAACCUGCCGAAAGGCAGACUAAUACCGCAUAGUCUUCGAUGACGGCAUCAGAUUUGAAGUCAAGAUUUAUCGGUCAUGGAUGGGGAUGCGUCUGAUUAGCUUGGUGGCGGGGUAACGGCCCACCAAGGCUACGAUCAGUAGGGGUUCUGAGAGGAAGGUCCCCCACAUUGGAACUGAGACACGGUCCAAACUCCUACGGGAGGCAGCAGUGAGGAAUAUUGGUCAAUGGACGGAAGUCUGAACCAGCCAAGUAGCGUGCAGGAUGACGGCCCUAUGGGUUGUAAACUGCUUUUGUAUGGGGAUAAAGUUAGGGACGUGUCCCUAUUUGCAGGUACCAUACGAAUAAGGACCGGCUAAUUCCGUG